GUGCAACAGAGCUCUCCCUGUGAUUAUUCUUUCUGCACCCUAAACACCAAAGCUAGAGCACAGCAGUCAUGCGCCCCAUAGAAUCGUACUCAUAAUUUUCCUAUCGUUCAGAGACUUUUCUGUCCAUUUCGUUCAGUAACAGCAGAACUGGAUGCCAGAAUUGUACACCAGACGUGCCUUAUGUUCUGGACAGAGGACAGACACAAAGAGCUUUUAUGUGAGUGUCACAAUUGCUGAUGUAGGUGCAUUUCUUCCCAUCAGUGAGGGGCACUGUGCGCUUCUCUCUCUCUUUUUUUCGCUAUUUUUCAGACUUUGUACACAUUUUAUGUUAUAAAGAGUGCACGCUUGUACUUAGGUGUAUGGCUGACAGCUAAGAACAUAAAUAUUUUUAAAGGUAAUUAUACAAUUUCUUCGAGAGGAAUAAAGAAAAAUUUAGAGAUUUGGAUAAGGAUGAAAUUAUCACUAUGGGGAAGGAUAUCAGUAAUAAAAAUGAAUUUUUUAUUGAUAAAAAUUGCCAAGCAUGUUAUACCCAUGAUCAGCAGCACAGGACACUUCAAAGAAUGGCAAAAAGUUAUUUCAAGAGUUAUCUGGCAGGGGGAGAAACCAAGAAUAAAGUAUAAAUUAAUAACAGAUUCUCCUUGCCAGGCUUAAAAUUAUAUUAUGAGGUGUCCUGUCUCUGUUGGCUGCAGGAAUAGGUAACAUUGGAAAAUUUAGAUAUUUUAGAUUUGGAAGGGCAUGAUAAUAGAUUUGGUUGGCAUGCAUAUUUAUGGUAUGAAAAAGCAAAAGUACAUAAAGGUUUUCUGAACCAUUUAGUAAGAAGAUCGUUUUUUUUUAUGUUGUGGGAGAAAUAUAAUAAAUAAAAAUAUAAUAAAUAGAACAGAAAACACCAUGGUGGCUCUCUCCAUUAGAAGCGAUAUCCUUGAAAAAAUAAAAUAUUUAAUAUUUAAAAAUUAAAUAUGAGAAGCAAUUGGGUGACAUAUAGAGAACUGUUCUACUUCAGUUAAGUAGAACAUCAGUUGAAAUUGAAGGAUUUUGAAGAAAGGAUUUAUUAACUGAUUGGCUACAAUUUCAUCAAUUAAACAAUAUUUUCAAGAUAGACAAAAAGAGAGGUUUUAGUUAUGAGACCUCAAGAUUUGAAAAAGAUUUGUUAGAAAAUAAUAUAAAAUUAUUGUCGAAAAUGUAUAAAUUGCUUUUGAAAUGGCGUACAAAGGUUGAACAGGUUAAAUCUGGGAGAGGGAUUUGGGACACAAUAUCCAACUUUCAGAUUGCAAAAGGUUAUGGAAAACUGAUUUGAAAUUCUUGGCGUGUUGUAUGCUGAAUGAAAACAAUAUGAAAAUGAUGUACUGAUGGUAUUUGAUUCCCAGUAAGUUAGCAAAAAAUGUAUAAGUCAGGUACAAAUAUCUGUUGGAAAUGAAAAGAAAAAGAAGGCACCUUUUAUCAUAUGUGGUGGUCUUGUAAGGUAAUAAAAGCUUUCUGGGAGAUAAAAAAAUGAGAUGAAAAAAAUGUUCAAAUUAACUUUUGUAAAAAAACACACCAGAGGCUUUUUUAUUAGGAAUUAUAGGUGCUGAUAUUCCAAGGGAGUAGAAAAGACUUUUUAUGUAUGCGACGACAGUCGCACAGAUGCUAUUAGCCCAGCAAAACUGACCGGAAAGCUCAGGAACCAAGAAGACCAAAACUUUAACAAAGAAUGGGAAAAAAUUAUAAUUUAUCUUGGAGACCACUGUAAGCAGAUGAAAACGUUAGCAGGAUUGCAAUAACACUUGUAAUGUAGCAAAUACUAUGGAGACAAUAGAAUAAAGUUAUAUAAAAUAUAGAUUAUUGGAAAAGAUGCAGCAGAAAGGGUUUAAUAAUAGGACCCAUGAGGAGAGGUGGGAAAUCCAGAGAUUCGGAGGAAUCUGUAAAUGUGUAUGUGUAUGGUUGUAUUGUUAAAAUUUUAUGUUUGUAAAAUCAAAUAAAAAUUAUUUCAAAAAGAGAGAGAGUGCAAGCGAGAAGCACAUGAGCUACUGAUUCAAUACUGCCAUCUCCACAUGGAAAUAACCGUUUUUCCAGUGGAAUUGUUUUGAAAUUGACCCUCAAGUACAGCUGAAGGCAGUAUAUUUAAUCUUGCGUACAGUAAGUGAAAGCAAGUCUGUAUUUUGGAAUUGUUAAAUUUUGCAAAUAGUGCGCCAAGGUCUCAAAAUUACUAGGUGGGAAAAAAAUUAUACAAUGGACAAAAUUUCCUUUUCGUGGCCAAAUUAUUCUGUCGCUCAAUAUCGUAUAUGAGCUGUCUAAUUAAAUUAUUUGCUUUACUGAAGUCCAGUGUUAAUAACUGUUGUGAUGAUAAACCGAAAGUAAAGCUUUCGGUUGACAAUUUUGGUCUAAGCGCUCUCAUGACAUUCUUGCGAUACUAAGGGUAGUAGACCAGUGGGUUUUAAAUUUAGCCGGAGCCAAUAAUUAAAUGUCCUGCACCAAAUCUGUAAUUCAACAGUGGGGAGAUUAGCCUUGCAAGCGCAAUGAAGCAUUUGGAACACAGGAUGGAACAGGAAAAAAUUGCCUUAGGAACUUAGAUUGAACAGCUUCUGUAGAUCCAAGGUGAGUGCCUGUCCAAGUCUGAGCCCUAUAUAAUAACUGCUUCAUCACUUGCAUGUGGCCCCUGAAAGGUUGCUCACAAGAGAAUAUGGCCCUCAGGCUGAAAAAUGUUCCCUACUCCAGCUUUGCUGCCAUUGUGUCCCUCUAAGCAGUCGCCCUCCAACACCUGCUUUCUGUGCUGUCUUGGCAAAAGAGGCUCAUGAGACUGUGUGUUUGCUGAGAUAAUGUCUACAUUGGGCCAGAGUGCAGGGCUAGAUGGACGCUUGGUCUGACUUAGCAAGUUCUUAUUUUAGAAACCCAGCACAAGGGUGCCUCUCUUGAACCUCCCUCCAAGGUCAACAGUGCUUGUGAGCUGGCACUGAUGAAGCACAAUUUCUUCUGCCCAAGCAAACCUGAAAUGUUGCUCGAAGCGGAGCAACCAGGUUAACCCAAGCGUGUUUCUUUAUUUCCUAUAAAGGAGUUUCACCAUCCUUGUCCCAAACAAUCACUUUGCUGUGUCUUUGCUUCUUGGGAGAUAGAUCACAUUGUACUCUGGCCACUUGCUUGCAAAGGGUGUCCAGUGAGAAGUCAUCAGCAUGAAACAAACUGAACAGACAAAGGCAAAAUGAGGGCGCGCUCCAGAGAUAUAUCCUUGAAGAAUCACAGAAUCAUAGAAUGUAGAGUUACAUUCCAACCCCCUCCAAUCUCAACCAAAGCACCAAAUGGCAGAUAGCCAUCCAACCUCUGCUUAGAAACCGACAAGGAAGCAGAGUCUACCACCUUCCAAGGGAGUCCAUUCCACUGGCAACAGCUUUUACGGUAAGAAAGUUAUUAUCCCAGCGGGACUUGACAUCUUUCCACAGGGCCUGCAAUAUAGAGCUGUUCCACCAGGCCUUUGGCCAGGGCACAGCCUGACCCCCUCCUUUGGCAAUCCUCACAGAACUCUAGCCCAAUGGUUGCCAUUAAUCUGAUUUGAACAGAUUUUAUAAUGAAAUUAUUUUAGAAUGUUGUAUCAUUUUACUGUUGUUAGCCG